UACGUAGGGCGCGAGCGUUGUCCGGAAUUAUUGGGCGUAAAGAGCUCGUAGGCGGCCUGUUGCGUCCGCUGUGAAAUCCCGGGGCUUAACCCCGGGCGUGCAGUGGAUACGGGCUGGCUGGAGGCAGGCAGGGGAGAACGGAAUUCCCGGUGUAGCGGUGAAAUGCGCAGAUAUCAGGAGGAACACCGAUGGCGAAGGCAGGUCUCUGGGCAUUAACUGACGCUGAGGAGCGAAAGCAUGGGGAGCGAACAGG
rnacentral:rRNA from 1 species